rnacentral:rRNA from 1 species
UACGUAGGGUGCAAGCGUUAAUCGGAAUUACUGGGCGUAAAGCGUGCGCAGGCGGUUUUGUAAGCCAGAUGUGAAAUCCCCGGGCUUAACCUGGGAAUGGCAUUUGGGGACUGCAAGGCUUGAGUUUGGCAGAGGAGACUGGAAUUCCUGGUGUAGCAGUGAAAUGCGUAGAUAUCAGGAGGAAUACCGAUGGCGAAGGCAGGUCUCUGGGCUAGAACUGACGCUCAUGCACGAAAGCGUGGGGAGCAAACAGG